rnacentral:rRNA from 1 species
UACGGGGGGAGCAAGCGUUGUUCGGAUUUACUGGGCGUAAAGGGCGCGUAGGCGGUCAGCACAAGUCAAUUGUGAAAUCUCCGAGCUUAACUCGGAAAGGUCAACUGAAACUGUGCGACUAGAGUGCGGAAGGGGCAACUGGAAUUCUUGGUGUAGCGGUGAAAUGCGUAGAUAUCAAGAGGAACACCUGCGGCGAAGGCGGGUUGCUGGGCCGACACUGACGCUGAAGCGCGAAAGCCGGGGGAGCGAACGGG